GGCGUUUCAUCUCUUUCAAUGAUACCAUUAGCAGCAGGAAUCUUCAGCAUCUGUGGCUGUGGCUUUUUGACACCUUUUUCUAUCCUUAUGGUGGCCCACUCCAGCGUCUUCACCAGCACCCACAUGUAGGCCUCGGAGAUGCCCAGCGAGACGCCCAGCGCCGAGGGCAGCACGAUGAGGGCGAAUACCAACGAGAGCCACGCCGCGCCCAGCCACACCGCCAGCGAGCCCAGCUCCUCCAUGGCGGCGAGCUCCCGCCGGCACCUCCGGCACUGCCACUACCGCCGCGAGCGCGGGCGCCGCCGCCCUAAGGCCCUGCGGCCCGCCUCGCGCCCCG
rnacentral:lncRNA from 1 species